GACGAACGCUGGCGGCGCGCUUAACACAUGCAAGUCGAACGGAAAGGCCUGCUUUCCCUUGUGGAUUGCGGGUACUCGAGUGGCGAACGGGUGAGUAACACGUGAGUGAUCUGCCCCCAACUUGGGUAUAAGCCUGGGAAACUGGGUCUAAUUCCCGAUAGGACUGCAGGGUGGUGCCUGUGGUGGAAAACGAUUUUCUAGUGGUUGGGGAUGAGCUCGCGGCCUAUCAGCUUGUUGGUGGGGUAAUGGCCUACCAAGGCGGCGACGGGUAGCCGGCCUGGGAGGGUGGACGGCCGCAUUGGGACUGCGAUACGGCCCCGACUCCUACGGGAGGCAGCAGUGGGGAAUAUUGCACAAUGGGCGGAAGCCUGAUGCAGCGACGCCGCGUGGGGGAUGACGGCCUUCGGGUUGUAAACUCCUUUCGACCGCGAGGAAGCCACCUGGUUGGAAGGGUGGUGACGGUAGUGGUAGAAGAAGCACCGGCUAACUACGUG
rnacentral:rRNA from 1 species